rnacentral:rRNA from 1 species
GGACCCGCACAAGCGGUGGAGUAUGUGGUUUAAUUCGAUGCAACGCGAAGAACCUUACCAGGGUUUGAAAUCAUUUCAAAACUCCUUGAAAGAGGAGCCUCCUUCGGGAUGAAAUGACAGGUGGUGCAUGGCUGUCGUCAGCUCGUGUUGUGAAAUGUCGAGUUAAGUCUCGUAACGAGCGCAACCCAUGUCUCUUGUUGCUCACUGAGUGCUUAAGAGAGACUGCCGACCAACAUCGGAGGAAGGUGUGGAUGAUGUCAAGUCAGCAUGCCCCUUACAUCCUGGGCUACACACGUACUACAAUGGUAGGGACAAUGAGCUGCGAUCCAUGCGAAGGC